rnacentral:tRNA from 1 species
UUAAUUGAAGCUAAAUGGAGGCAUCUUAAUGUUAAUAAGAAAAAUGAAUUAAUUUCCAAUUAAA